rnacentral:rRNA from 1 species
GAUGAACGCUGGCGGCGUGCUUAACACAUGCAAGUCGAACGAAGCACUUUUACAGAUUUCUUCGGAAUGAAGUUUUAGUGACUGAGUGGCGGACGGGUGAGUAACGCGUGGGUAACCUGCCUCGCACAGGGGGAUAACAGUUGGAAACGGCUGCUAAUACCGCAUAAGCGCACAGUACCGCAUGGUACAGUGUGAAAAACUCCGGUGGUGUGAGAUGGACCCGCGUCUGAUCAGCUAGUUGGCAGGGCAACGGCCUACCAAGGCGACGAUCAGGAGCCGACCUGAGAGGGUGACCGGCCACAUUGGGACUGAGACACGGCCCAAACUCCUACGGGAGGCAGCAGUGGGGAAUAUUGCACAAUGGGGGAAACCCUGAUGCAGCGACGCCGCGUGAGCGAAGAAGUAUUUCGGUAUGUAAAGCUCUAUCAGCAGGGAAGAAGAAAUGACGGUACCUGACUAAGAAGCACCGGCUAAAUACGUGCCAGCAGCCGCCGUAA